UCUCUCAGGGUCUCUCCAAGAUUCCUGGCCCUCUGGCAUAGCCUGUACUCAGGAUGCCUGGCCUGCUUCCAGACGGAAUUCCUCAUUUUUAUUGUGGAAAGACAGGCUGCCAGGCUAAUUGGAGAGAGCCUUGCCUUGGGCAACCUGACCUCCAUUACCAUCCUCCAAGCCUUCUACUCUGGUGCAACUGACCAUCCACUGGCUCAUCAUGGGUUACUCCAUGACUGCCUUCUGCCUCUUCACAUGGGGCAAAUGGCUUAAGCUCCCCACUCUAUAAAUCCAUCUUGGGCACAUCUUCUUUUGGAGCCUACUAUAUUUA
rnacentral:lncRNA from 1 species